UACGUAGGGGGCAAGCGUUGUCCGGAAUCAUUGGGCGUAAAGAGCGUGUAGGCGGCCCGAUAAGUCCGCUGUGAAAGUCCAGGGCUCAACCCUGGGAUGCCGGUGGAUACUGUCGGGCUCGAGUCCGGUAGGGGAGUGCGGAAUUCCCGGUGUAGCGGUGAAAUGCGCAGAUAUCGGGAGGAACACCAGUGGCGAAGGCGGCACUCUGGGCCGGAACUGACGCUGAGGAGCGAAAGCGUGGGGAGCGAACAGG
rnacentral:rRNA from 1 species